AUUGAACGCUGGCGGCAGGCCUAGCACAUGCAAGUCGAGCGGCAGCGGGAAAGUAGCUUGCUACUUUUGCCGGCGAGCGGCGGACGGGUGAGUAAUGCCUGGGGAUCUGCCCAGUCGAGGGGGAUAACAGUUGGAAACGACUGCUAAUACCGCAUACGCCCUACGGGGGAAAGGAGGGGACCUUCGGGCCUUUCGCGAUUGGAUGAACCCAGGUGGGAUUAGUUAGUUGGGGGGGUAAUGGCUCACCAAGGCGACGAUCCCUAGCUGGUCUGCGAGGAUGAUCAGCCACACGGGAACUGAGACACGGUCCAGACUCCUACGGGGGGCAGCAGUGGGGAAUAUUGCAAAAUGGGGGAAACCCUAAUGCAGCCAUGCCGCGUGUGGGAAGAAGGCCUUCGGGUUGUAAAGCACUUUCAGCGAGGAGGAAAGGUCGUUGGCUAAUACCCAGCAACUGUGACGUUACUCGCAGAAGAAGCACCGGCUAACUCCGUGCCAGCCGCCGCGGUAAGAC
rnacentral:rRNA from 1 species